GAUAAACGCUAGCGGCAGGCUUAACACAUGCAAGUCGAGGGGCGGCAUAGAUUGUAGCAAUACAAUUGGUGGCGACCGGCGCACGGGUGCGUAACGCGUAUGCAACCUACCCGUCACAGGGGGAUAAUCCGGAGAAAUCUGGUCUAAUACCCCAUAACAUAUGGAUCGGCAUCGGUUCAUGUUGAAAUUUUCGGAGGUGACGGAUGGGCAUGCGUAGCAUUAGCUUGUUGGUGAGGUAACGGCUCACCAAGGCGACGAUGCUUAGGGGGACUGAGAGGUUUUCCCCCCACACUGGUACUGAGACACGGACCAGACUCCUACGGGAGGCAGCAGUGAGGAAUAUCGGUCAAUGGGCGCAAGCCUGAACCAGCCAUGCCGCGUGCAGGAUGACGGCUCUAUGAGUUGUAAACUGCUUUUGUACGAGGGUAAAGUGGGUUACGUGUAACCUUUUGAAAGUAUCGUACGAAUAAGGAUCGGCUAACUCCGUGCCAGCAGCCGCGGUAA
rnacentral:rRNA from 1 species